GAUCAUGGCUCAGAUUGAACGCUGGCGGCAUGCUUUACACAUGCAAGUCGAACGGCAGCACAGGGAGCUUGCUCCCGGGUGGCGAGUUGGCGCACGGGUGAGUAAUACGAUCGGAACGUGUCCUGUUGUGGGGGAUAACUGGCUCGAAAGGGUGGCUAAUACCGCAUGAGACCUGAGGGUGAAAGCGGGGGAUCGCAAGACCUCGCGCAAGUUAGGAGCGGCCGAUGCCCGGAUUAG
rnacentral:rRNA from 1 species